UACGGAGGAUCCAAGCGUUAUCCGGAUUUAUUGGGUUUAAAGGGUGCGCAGGCGGAAUAAUAAGUCAGUGGUGAAAUCCUGCAGCUUAACUGCAGAACUGCCAUUGAUACUGUUAUUCUUGAGUAUAUUUGAAGUGGGCGGAAUGUGUCAUGUAGCGGUGAAAUGCUUAGAUAUGACACAGAACACCAAUUGCGAAGGCAGCUCACUAAACUAUAACUGACGCUCAUGCACGAAAGCGUGGGGAUCAAACAGG
rnacentral:rRNA from 1 species